CCCGCGGCGAUGGGCACGGAGCUGAGCGCUCAGUGGGCUCUUUAUUCCCUGUCUCGCCCGGAGCCGGGGUGUCGGCGCUGGGAAAGGAAAAGGCUCAGGAACAUCAAACGGUUCCCACGGGCCGGCGCGGGGGUCACAUGAAGCACCGGGAACGUCUCGGGAGAUAAAGGGGCUUUGUGGGGCUGGGAGCCGCGGUGGGGACAGCCCCACACUGCCCAGUGACCCCAGAGCUGCCCCGGGCGGGGGUGGCCCCAUCUCACCCGAUGUGGCCUUGCCUGGCAUCCUGUGCGAGCUCUGGCAUGGACACGGUGUGACGGUCGGUGGUCACAGGGGUUUUCAGGGUGCCACGGGCUUUGAACCAAACUGGUCCCAGAAGGAGCCCUGGCACUUGGCCCUGUGCCCACAUGGCAUCAGAGAGGUCCUGACCCCUCUGCUGGGAAGGAGGCAGCAGAGUUUGGAGCCACCUGGUGCAAAAUGAGGAUGCACAGCCUUGCUCCUGCUCGAGUGUGGCCGUGGAUGUGAGGGGCUUCACAAGGAAUGGGGGCUGUGAGGAUUGAGGUCCAACACUUCCAGUGGGAACUGGAACCACUGGGACCACCACACUGCAGAGCUGGGGCUGGAAAACUUUGUGUUGGGAGCAGGUCCUGCAGAUGGAGAGAGGAAGAGGAGGAGGAUGCUAUGAACAGGUUUGUCCUCUUGGCCUCACAAAAUUUAAAAACAACACUGUUAUUUUCAUAGACCCUGGUCAUUUUUUUAGGCUGAGGAAAAGAAAAGCAACCCCAGGCUGUAUGAGAGGGGCCAGAAAAGCUGUUGGUCUGGAGGGAGGAAGCAUCAGUGCCAGCUCAGCCCCAUCCCUGGCCUGGCUCCUUCCUCAUCCUCAUCCCCAGCCCUCUCCUGCUUUCACGUGCAGCAUCCCAUGGUCUGCAUUUCCCUCAGGAUUUUCUGGGAUAAACACCAGCUGGGGAAGGGGAGAGAGGGCUGGAUGCAGGCAACCCUCAUCCCCUUGUGCACAGCCCCAGCCCCUGCCCAGUCCUGCUGCCUGAUGUCUACCUGUAACUCCUGAAAUCCUUUUCAAUCAGAAUCCAAAUGUGCUGUAUUUGGGGAAAAUUCCAGGGAUCUGCAGCCAGGUUGGAUUUCAGAGGAGCUGGGAAUCCCACAGAGGUCAGAGCCUGCUCACUGCAGCAGCUCCCAGCCCCAAAAUCAGCCUUUGGGUGGCACCGGGAGGAAGAGGAGGAAGAGGAAAGGGCUGCAGGGUUUGGGAGCCCAGCAGAGGUGUGACCCUCCCAAAAGUGAUGGAAAUAUUGGUACAGGCAGCUCUGACACCCAUUAGGGGCAGAGACCCCCUUGCCAAAGCACUCAUUCUGAGGAGGAAGCCUCCUUACUCUUUACUUUCCUAAAACCCCCCAAAAAAUGGAUUUCUCUUGGCCAGAGGAGCCGGGCUAUGCCAGGGAAGCGGAGCUGACGUUUCCUCUGCUGAGCCACAAAAAGGGAAUUUUGCUGCCGACUCCACCCCUUCCAUCCAUCCGACCAGGACCCAAAAAUCACCAUUUCCUCUUGGCCUGUGAAUCACUAAUAAACUCCAGACAGAAAGGGCUGAUUAGGAAAUUGUUUGGGAAAUGGAAAGGAAGGGGGAGGGACGUGCAGCCGGUGCCUCUGGGUGGUUUUGCCCCUUGGUGUCACCUCCCAGAGCCACGGGCAGGUCCCCACUUUGGGGUCCCCAAAUCUGCUCCAGCCUACGUGGGGCUGCAGGCAGAGCUCCCCAGUGGAUGGGUUUAUUUGUAUGCAAGGAUUUGGGGGUGAAAAUCUCAGUGUACAUUGAUUUAUUUAUUUUUUUAUUUGACCACCAUCUCUUGGCUGUUCCGAACACUCCAGGCAUCCUCACCAGAGUGUCCCUCAAGGGCUGGUGUCACUGAUUGGGAAGGGGAUGUGUGACAUGUGCUGCAGCCCCAGCACUGUCCCCUCCCUCCCUGCCGGCCCCAGCACCCCCCAAGUGCUGCACACUCGCUCUGACACAGAAAGGAUCCACAUUUGGACUUCAUAACGCAGAAAAAACGUCAGGAUUUUGAAAUUUCAGCCUUGGACCCAAAUCUGAUGCAUUCCAGAAAUGCUUUAAUUUAUCCCUUUGUCACAACAUUCAAUAAAAGGUUUCAUUUCAGCUGCGCCGCUUUGAUUAAUAACUGUAACAGAUUCUAACCUGAAGGAAUCCUCUGAUAUUGUGUCCAUGGAAAUUAAAUGUUUGAUUGCACAUAGUCAGGA